rnacentral:rRNA from 1 species
CCUACGGGGGGCAGCAGUAGGGAAUCUUUCACAAUGGGCGAAAGCCUGAUGGAGCAACGCCGCGUGCAGGAUGCAGGCCUUCGGGUUGUAAACUGCUUUUAUAAGCGAGAAAUAUGAUGGUAACUUAUGAAUAAGGAUCGGCUAACUACGUGCCAGCAGCCGCGGUCAUACGUAGGAUCCGAGCAUUAUCCGGAGUGACUGGGUGUAAAGAGUUGCGUAGGUGGCAUAAUAAGUAGCUAGUGAAAUCUGGUGGCUCAACCAUUCAGACUAUUAGCUAAACUGUUAAGCUCGAGACCGUUAGGGGUAACUGGAAUUUCUAGUGUAGGAGUGAAAUCCGUAGAUAUUAGAAGGAACACCAAUAGCGUAGGCAGGUUGCUGGGACGGUUCUGACACUAAGGCACGAAAGCGUAGGGAGCAAACGGGAUUAGAUACCCGUGUAGUC